CCUACGGGAGGCAGCAGUGGGGAAUAUUGCACAAUGGGGGAAACCCUGAUGCAGCGACGCCGCGUGAGUGAAGAAGUAUCUCGGUACGUAAAGCUCUAUCAGCAGGGAAGAAAAUGACGGUACCUGACUAAGAAGCCCCGGCUAACUACGUGCCAGCAGCCGGGGUAAUAUGUCGGGGGCAAGCGUUAUCCGGAUUUACUGGGCGUAAAGGGAGCAUAGACGGGAUCGCAAGUCUGGAGUGAAAUCCCAUGGCUUAACCAUGGAACUGCCUUUGAAACUGGGUAGCUGGAGUGCAGGAGAGGUAAGCGGAAUUCGUAGUGUAGCGGUGAAAGGCAUAGAUAUUAGGAAGAACACCAGUGGCGAAGGCGGCUUACUGGACUGUAACUGACGUUGAGGCUCGAAAGCGUGGGGAGCAAACAGGAUUAGAUACCCGAGUAGUC
rnacentral:rRNA from 1 species